rnacentral:lncRNA from 1 species
UAUGUAUUGCAUUAGGAUUACAAAUUGUAGGAACAACUGUACCUGUACCUCUUAACGAUAACAGUGAUUGUCAUGUUAAAUCAUUGUUUAAUGGAGAGGAUGUUACAAUUGAUAGUAUACAACAAAAACUUAAUGUCCUUAACACAGAACAAGACAUUGAAGAUUUUUGUAGAGUAUAUAUACUUUUUGCCUUCUUUGCAUUAUAUUUUCCUAAGAAAAGCAGGAAUGUCAC